AUGCCAUUCAAGAUUGCAGUGCUUCACGUAGUAGAUCCGUUCCACAUAUGAAUCUGUGAGUCAGGCGAGAAGUUCCAGUAGCCGGCAGACCGGCAGACCACCCAGACCAGAUCCGAUCUGAUCCAGUCCGAGCAACAGCCGGAUUCGGAUUCGCAGAAAUGCAACGCCCAAGUGGUCCGAAGCAGUUGCAAAUCUUGACUCGUCAUGAGAUCUGUGGGGCUUGUCACUUGAG
rnacentral:lncRNA from 1 species